rnacentral:rRNA from 1 species
GCCAGCAGUAAGAUGGAAUGGAGAGCUGCCGGGGAUAACCCGGAGGAAGGUGGGGAUGACGUCAAAUCAUCAUGCCCUUUAUGACCUGGGCUUCACACGUACUACAAUGGCCGUUAACAGCGGGAGGCAAAGCAGUGAUGCAGAGCAAACCCCCAAAAACGGUCCCAGUUCGGAUUGCAGGCUGAAACUCGCCUGCAUAAAGUUGGAAUUGCUAGUAAUCGCAGAUCAGCAUGCUGCGGUGAAUACGUUCCCGGGCCUUGUACACACCGCCCGUCAAACCAUGAGAGCCGGUAACACCCGAAGUCCGUAGCCUAACCGUAAGGAGGGCGCGGCCGAAGGUGGGAUUGGUAAUUGGGGUUAAGUCGUAACAAGGUAGCCG